UACGUAGGGGGCAAGCGUUGUCCGGAAUCAUUGGGCGUAAAGAGCGUGUAGGCGGUCCGGUAAGUCGGCUGUGAAAGUCCAGGGCUCAACCCUGGGAUGCCGGUCGAUACUGCCGGACUAGAGUUCGGAAGAGGCGAGUGGAAUUCCCGGUGUAGCGGUGAAAUGCGCAGAUAUCAGGAAGAACACCCGUGGCGAAGGCGGCUCUCUGGAACGCAACUGACGCUGAGACGCGAAAGCGUGGGGAGCAAACAGG
rnacentral:rRNA from 1 species